rnacentral:sRNA from 1 species
UAGAUAUUCUAGGGUGUAAUCCCAUGAGA